rnacentral:rRNA from 1 species
UACGAGGGGGGCAAAUGUUGUUCGGAAUCACUGGGCGUAAAGGGCGCGUAGGCGGCUGUUCAAGUCGGGGGUGAAAGCCUGUGGCUCAACCACAGAAUUGCCUUCGAUACUGGACGGCUCGAGACCGGAAGAGGUCAGUGGAACUGCGAGUGUAGAGGUGAAAUUCGUAGAUAUUCGCAAGAACACCAGUGGCGAAGGCGGCUGACUGGUCCGGUUCUGACGCUGAGGCGCGAAAGCGUGGGGAGCAAACAGG